ACCCUUAGAUGUCCUGGGCCGCACGCGCGCUACACUGAUGCAUGCAACGAGUUUCAUUUCUCCUGGGUCGAGAGGCCCGGGUAAUCUGUUGAACGUGCAUCGUGAUAGGGAUAGAUCAUUGCAAUUAUUGAUCUUGAACGAGGAAUUCCUAGUAAACGCGAGUCAUCAGCUCGCAUUGAUUACGUCCCUGCCCUUUGUACACACCGCCCGUCGCACCUACCGAUUGAAUGAUUCGGUGAAGAUUCCGGACCGUGUUGUCACCGCUUCACGGCGGUUUUGACGUGGGAAGUUAUCUAAACCUCAUCAUUUAGAGGAAGGUGAAGUCGUAACA
rnacentral:rRNA from 1 species